CAGAAAGUUAUACAAAAGGAAUGUGAGUGUUUUCUCCAUCAGGAAGUGCUCAAUGACCUGAUUCCAAUACUACACAAGGUGUUCUGUCUUUGAGAAGUUCCCGUGAUAUCGCUAUAAGAAGAACGGGCGUUUGGGUUGCAGGCAGAAACAACGUCUGUGGUGUUGACAACGCGCGGAAGUCCCCUGGGCUGUUGCUCAGCACGAAUUCCAGCUCCUGUUUGAUGCACUCUUUAGGAAAUGAAGAAGAAACAUUUCCCAGAUUAUUUGUGGUUGUCACUCUGGGAAUGGUUUAGCUUUUGC
rnacentral:lncRNA from 1 species